rnacentral:rRNA from 1 species
CGUUCAAUGUCUUACGACAGGGCUACACACGUGCUACAAUGGCAUAUACAAAGAGAAGCGACCUCGCGAGAGCAAGCGGACCUCAUAAAGUAUGUCGUAGUCCGGAUUGGAGUCUGCAACUCGACUCCAUGAAGUCGGAAUCGCUAGUAAUCGUAGAUCAGAAUGCUACGGUGAAUACGUUCCCGGGCCUUGUACACACCGCCCGUCACACCAUGGGAGUGGGUUGCAAAAGAAGUAGGUAGCUUAACCUUCGGGAGGGCGCUUACCACUUUGUGAUUCAUGACUGGGGUGAAGUCGUAACAAGGUAACCGUAGGGGAACCUGCGGUUGGAUCAACCUCAUAAUAA